ensembl:snRNA U4 U4 spliceosomal RNA
AGCUUUGCACAGAGGCAGUAUCGUAGCCAAUGAGGUUUAUCUGAGGUGCAAUUAUUGCUAGUUGAAAACUUUUCCCAGUGUCCCUCCAUGACGACUUGAAAUAUAGUCGGCAUUGACAAUUUUUGACAGUCUCUACGGAGA